GACCGCUUAGCUCAGUUGGAAGAGCAUUGGGCUAGUACUCCAAAGGUCGUAGGUUCGAAUCCCACCGUGGCCG